UCUACACUGUCCGUCGACACGGUGUCCU
rnacentral:piRNA from 1 species